CAGACUUGAAAAGCUCAGCCUCGGGCUGUCUGCACCAUGACCUGGGCUCCUCUCCUGCUCACUCUUCUGGCUCACUGCACAGGCUCCACUUCCCAGGCUGUGGUGACUCAGGAAACUUCACUGACCACAACUCCAGGAGGGACAGUCACACUCACCUGUGGCUCCAGUACUGGGGCCGUUACCACCAGUAACUAUGCUGGCUGGAUCCAACAGAAGUCCUCCCAGGUACCUCAGGGUAUAAUAGGUAGCACUGGUACUCGGCUCCCAGGAGUCCCUGCCCGAUUCACAGGCUCCCUGCUCGGAGACAAGGCUGCCCUCACCAUCACAGGGGCCCAGGCUGAGGAUGAGGCCACGUAUUACUGUAUUCUGUGGUUCAGCAACCAUGUCCACAGUGGCAUAUGCAGAUGGAGAAGUGAGACAAAAACACCCGGGCUCAGCCUCACUCUUUGCCCCUAA